rnacentral:rRNA from 1 species
UACGUAGGGGGCAAGCGUUGUCCGGAUUUAUUGGGCGUAAAGAGCGUGUAGGCGGCCAGGGAGGUCCGUUGUGAAAACUCGAGGCUCAACCUCGAGACGCCGAUGGAAACCCCCUGGCUAGAGGACCGGAGAGGAUAGUGGAAUUCCCAGUGUAGUGGUGAAAUACGUAGAGAUUGGGAAGAACACCAGUGGCGAAGGCGGCUAUCUGGACGGUUUCUGACGCUAAGACGCGAAAGCGUGGGGAGCAAACAGG